rnacentral:rRNA from 1 species
GUCCACGCCCUAAACGAUGUCAACUAGGUGUUGGGUGGGUAAAACCAUUUAGUACCGGAGCUAACGCGUGAAGUUGACCGCAUGGGGAGUACGGCCGCAAGGUUAAAACUCAAAGGAAUUGACGGGGACCCGCACAAGCGGUGGAUGAUGUGGAUUAAUUCGAUGCAACGCGAAAAACCUUACCUACCCUUGACAUGUCAAGAAGCCUGAAGAGAUUUGGGUGUGCCCGAAAGGGAACUGGAACACAGGUGCUGCAUGGCUGUCGU